AUUGAACGCUGGCGGCAUGCCUUACACAUGCAAGUCGAACGGCAGCACGGGAGCUUGCUCCUGGUGGCGAGUGGCGAACGGGUGAGUAAUGUAUCGGAACAUGCCCUGAAGUGGGGGAUAACGUAGCGAAAGUUACGCUAAUACCGCAUAUUCUGUGAGCAGGAAAGCAGGGGAUCGCAAGACCUUGCGCUUUGGGAGUGGCCGAUAUCGGAUUAGCUAGUUGGUGAGGUAAAGGCUCACCAAGGCGACGGUCCGUAGCGGGUCUGAGAGGAUGAUCCGCCACACUGGGACUGAGACACGGCCCAGACUCCUACGGGAGGCAGCAGUGGGGAAUUUUGGACAAUGGGCGCAAGCCUGAUCCAGCCAUGCCGCGUGAGUGAAGAAGGCCUUCGGGUUGUAAAGCUCUUUCGGUGGGGAAGAAAUUGCUUCGGCUAAUACCCGGAGUAGAUGACGGUACCCGCAUAAGAAGCACCGGCUAACUACGUGCCAGCAGCCGCCGUAC
rnacentral:rRNA from 1 species